rnacentral:lncRNA from 1 species
UCUUCGUCUUCCAGAGCUUUCCUGGUGCCUCGUGAAGUUCCACAUUGCUCCGGAUUUCAGAGACAGAUGCUGCUUCGUGUACCCAGGACCUGUUUCAAAUUCAGCUAAUUCAGGGAUAGCUGCUGUGUUAUACUGAGGAAAGCAGUUGGCAUCUCUAUGCAAGAUACACUGCGUUUGUGAAAGAGGCUUUUAUGUUCUGA